rnacentral:rRNA from 1 species
UGAGGAAUAUUGGUCAAUGGACGAGAGUCUGAACCAGCCAAGUAGCGUGCAGGAUGACGGCCCUAUGGGUUGUAAACUGCUUUUGUUUGGGAAUAAUCGACAUUACGUGUAAUGUUUUGCAUGUACCAUUCGAAUAAGGACCGGCUAAUUCCGUGCCAGCAGCCGCGGUAAUACGGAAGGUCCAGGCGUUAUCCGGAUUUAUUGGGUUUAAAGGGAGUGUAGGCGGUUGGUUAAGCGUGUUGUGAAAUGUAGAUGCUCAACAUCUGACUUGCAGCGCGAACUGGCUGACUUGAGUAAAAACAACGUAGGGGGAAUUCAUGGUGUAGCGGUGAAAUGCUUAGAUAUCAUGAAGAACUCCGAUUGCGAAGGCAGCUUACGGGAGUGUUACUGACGCUUAAGCUCGAAGGUGCGGGUAUCGAACAGG